rnacentral:rRNA from 1 species
UACGUAGGGUGCAAGCGUUGUCCGGAAUUAUUGGGCGUAAAGAGCUGUAGGCGGUUUGUCGCGUCUGCUGUGAAAUUUCGGGGCUCAACCCCGAACUUGCAGUGGGUACGGGCAGACUAGAGUGUGGUAGGGGAGACGUGGAAUUCCGUGGUGUAGCGGUGAAAUGCGCAGAGUAUCAGGAGGAACACCGAUGGCGAAGGCAGGUCUCU